GGGUGAUUAGCUCAGCUGGGAGAGCACCUCCCUUACAAGGAGGCGGUCGGCGGUUCGAUCCCGUCAUCACCCACCA
rnacentral:tRNA from 6 species